UGCAAGUCGAGCGAGAAGGGAGCAAUCCUGAGUAAAGCGGCGUACGGGUGAGUAACACGUAGGUAUCCACCUCUUAGUGGGGAAUAACUCGGGGAAACCUGAGCUAAUACCGCAUAAGUCCGAGAGGAGAAAGCAGCAAUGCGCUGAGAGAGGAGCCUGCGGCCGAUUAGCUAGAUGGCGGGGUAAUGGCCCACCAUGGCGACGAUCGGUAGCCGGCCUGAGAGGGCACACGGCCACACUGGCACUGAAACACGGGCCAGACUCCUACGGGAGGCAGCAGUGGGGAAUCUUGCACAAUGGAGGAAACUCUGAUGCAGCGACGCCGCGUGGACGACGAAGCCCUUCGGGGUGUAAAGUCCUUUCGACCGGAACGAUAAUGACGGUACCGGUGGAAGAAGCUGCGGCUAACUACGUGCCAGCAGCCGCGGUAAUACGUAGGCAGCAAGCGUUGUUCGGAAUUACUGGGCGUAAAGAGUUCGUAGGCGGUGCGGCAAGUUCGGUGUGAAAUCUCCCGGCUCAACUGGGAGGGUGCGCUAAAUACUGCCGUGCUCGAGUAUAGGAGAGGUAAGCGGAAUUCCUGGUGUAGCGGUGAAAUGCGUAGAUAUCAGGAGGAACACCUGUGGUGUAGACGGCUUACUGGACUAUAACUGACGCUGANGAACGAAAGCGUGGGUAGCAAACAGGAUUAGAUACCCUGNUAGUCCACGCCCUAAACGAUGCAUACUUGGUGUGAGCCAUUCACUUGGUUCGUGCCGUAGCUAACGCGUUAAGUAUGCCGCCUGGGGAGUACGGUCGCAAGGCUGAAACUCNAAGGAAUUGACGGGGGCCCGCACAAGCGGUGGANCNUG
rnacentral:rRNA from 1 species